rnacentral:lncRNA from 1 species
CCCCACCCCCCCGGGGCGGUUGGGCCCUGACUUUCAUAUUCUAUCUUCAUCUAAGCUAACAUUGACCAGUUCAUACAAUUUGGUUGCAAUUGGAGGUUGGUUUCUCUCUUACUUCUUCUUACUUGUGAGGAAAGUCCCUUUUUCUUUUGUCUGUUCUACCACAUUCGAGACUAAGGCUUCCUUUGAAUUCAUCUCGUUCAUAGUGAGAUGAAAUCUCAAGGAUAUAUCUUUUAUUAUGCUUUCUCACAAAAGGUAAAAUGGUGUGUGGAACAUAAAGCAUUGUAGUAUGGUAAAGCAACUGCAUUUCAAAAUCACCACUAUAGCUGCUUUCCCAAUUACGGUGCUCUCGUGGCAUCAGGUGGGUUAAAUCAGUCCCUUGUUUUACUCUUUUACGGGUUAAAACAUGACAAUGCAAACUAGACCGUUCAACUGCUGGAAUGAAGUCAUACUAGAAGAGUGGGAAAAUCCAAUUUAUAAACAAGCACUGUAUUCAAGAAAAACACACUUCCUGUCCAAAAUCAUUUCAAUAUAUUCCGCAGAAGAGGCCAUUUUUAAACAAGCACUAUCAAUGUACAUUUAGAAAAACAAACACUUCCUAACCAAAAUCAUUUCAACCAAGAUAUUAAUAUAUUCCGUACAUCGUAUUCAACAAAUGAUUUAUAUAACAGGUCCUUCCCUUUAGCAUCAACCCCACAUAUCGUUCACGGUUCCUUAACGGGGCCAGCCUUUGCAAAGGAGAAGUCUUCAUUUCUUGUUUCUGUGUAGGUUUCAGUUAUUUCAGUUGCAUGCUCAUCAUGAUCCACUCUUAUUAUUAAAUUUGUUGAUGUGGGUGUCAAUGGUUCAGCUUCAAGAUCAGACAUGUCACGAUCUUCAUAGUUAUAUGAUGAACGAGUUGAAUGACCAGUAGUUUUGUAUCGAUGAAGUGAGUGUCCAGUGGAAUGCAAUGUUGAACUUGGGCUUGUACUUCCAC